UCAAACAAUUUUGUGCUCGUAGAAAUUCAAUCAAAUCAAAUGGGGUGCUAUUUCCAAUUAAGUGUUUUCUUUUUUGUGUUGAUCACGUGAAGCUUAUCAAUGGAUUAUUGUUUGUGUUGCAGAAAAUUGUGUGGUGAACUAUCAUCAUACUUACUACCUAACUUUAUCAUCAACUCUCCAUCAUACUUUUCUCAUGCUCGUGAAGAGUAGCUCGUCAAACCAAUAUUGCAAAGGAUGCUGGCAUGCAAUCUUCAUGUCAUUUCGACUGAGCCUUUCAAGUAGUGUGAUUUUGAGUUGAAGAGUGAGCCCGCAACUAAGAUUGCAAAGAAUGUUGGCCAAAAAAGAUCAUUCUUCGCAAACUCAUCAUUGUAUGUAAGUAUGAAUGUGAUGGGAAGUGCAGCAUCUUCCUCACAACUGAGUUGAAAACGAUUGAAAGCCAUAAAUUCAGCAGUCUUCACACUAUUUCUACCUUGCCAGUCACCACACGUGAACCUCAACACCACUAUGCCUCGGACUACCAAGCCUGCGUCAUCAUCCUGAAAAUUGCUGGCCCUGUAAACUCCCCAGUCUACGGACAGCAAGCCUAAGUAAAAAAAAAAGGCCCUUCUUCACCUCGCCCGUCAUCGCUUCGCCCGUCGUCAUCGCUUCGCCCGUCGUCCCGUCAUCGUUU